UAAGGAAUAUUGCGCAAUGGGGGAAACCCUGACGCAGCAACGCCGCGUGGAGGAUGACACUUUUCGGAGCGUAAACUCCUUUUAUCAGGAAAGAAUAAUGACGGUACCUGAUGAAUAAGCACCGGCUAACUCCGUGCCAGCAGCCGCGGUCAUACGGGGGGUGCAAGCGUUACUCGGAAUCACUGGGCGUAAAGGACGCGUAGGCGGAUUAUCAAGUCUUUUGUGAAAUCUAGUGGCUUAACCACUAAACUGCUUAGGAAACUGAUAGUCUAGAGUAGGGGAGAGGUAGAUGGAAUUCUUGGUGUAGGAGUAAAAUCCGUAGAGAUCAAGAAGAAUACCCAUUGCGAAAGCGAUCUGCUGGAACCUAACUGACGCUGAGGCGUGAAAGCGUGGGUAGCAAACAGG
rnacentral:rRNA from 1 species